AGUUUAGCCCUGAGCUAACUGCUGCCAAUCUUCCUCUUUUUGCUGAGGAAGACUGGCCCUGAGCUAACAUCCGUGCCCAUCUUCCUCUACUUUAUAUGUGGGACACCUACCACAGCAUGGCAUGCUGAGCGGUGCCAUGUCUGCACCUGGGAUCAGAAGCAGUGAACCCCAGGCCGCCAAAGCAGAACAUGUGCACUUAACCGCUGCACCACCGGGCCGGCCCUGAACAAUGCUAAAAUCGUCAAACUGAUAAAGAACCGUUAAGUUGUUCUCCCAAUUGUUGGAUGGCAGAUAAUUCAUUUUGGCUUAAGAGCCUGGAGGAGAACUUGAAGAAGGAACCAAGGCAAUUCCUUUUCCACAAUGUUGUUCC
rnacentral:lncRNA from 1 species